GACGAACGCUGGCGGCGUGCUUAACACAUGCAAGUCGAACGGAAGGGCCCUGCUUUUGUGGGGUGCUCGAGUGGCGAACGGGUGAGUAACACGUGAGUAACCUGCCCUUGACUUUGGGAUAACUUCAGGAAACUGGGGCUAAUACCGGAUAGGAGCUCCUGCUGCAUGGUGGGGGUUGGAAAGUUUCGGCGGUUGGGGAUGGACUCGCGGCUUAUCAGCUUGUUGGUGGGGUAGUGGCUUACCAAGGCUUUGACGGGUAGCCGGCCUGAGAGGGUGACCGGACACAUUGGGACUGAGAUACGGCCCAGACUCCUACGGGAGGCAGCAGUGGGGAAUAUUGCACAAUGGGCGGAAGCCUGAUGCAGCAACGCCGCGUGCGGGAUGACGGCCUUCGGGUUGUAAACCGCUUUCGCCUGUGACGAAGCGUGAGUGACGGUAAUGGGUAAAGAAGCACCGGCUAACUACGUG
rnacentral:rRNA from 1 species